UGAGUACUCCCUCCGUCCGAAAAUACUUGUCAUCAAAAUGAAUAAAAAGAGAUGUAUCUAGAACUAAAAUACAUCUAGAUACAUCCUCUUUUAUCUAUUUUGAUGACAAGUAUUUUCGGACGGAGGGAGUAUAUA
rnacentral:pre_miRNA from 1 species